rnacentral:rRNA from 1 species
AUUGAACGCUGGCGGCAUGCUUUACACAUGCAAGUCGAACGGCAGCGCGGGCUUCGGCCUGGCGGCGAGUGGCGAACGGGUGAGUAAUACAUCGGAACGUGCCCAGUAGUGGGGGAUAGCUCGGCGAAAGCCGGAUUAAUACCGCGUACGACCUGAGGGUGAAAGCGGGGGAUCUUCGGACCUCGCGCUAUUGGAGCGGCCGAUGGCAGAUUAGCUAGUUGGUGGGGUAAAGGCCUACCAAGGCGACGAUCUGUAGCUGGUCUGAGAGGACGACCAGCCACACUGGGACUGAGACACGGCCCAGACUCCUACGGGAGGCAGCAGUGGGGAAUUUUGGACAAUGGGCGAAAGCCUGAUCCAGCAAUGCCGCGUGUGUGAUGAAGGCCUUCGGGUUGUAAAGCACUUUUGGCGGGAACGAAAAGGACUGUGCCAAUACCACGGUUCGAUGACGGUACCCGCAGAAUAAGCACCGGCUAACUACGUG